GCCCUGGUCGCGGAUGGUAGCGCGCUGCACAGCAGAGGUCGGUGGUUCGAGUCCACCCCAGGGCA
rnacentral:tRNA from 1 species